rnacentral:lncRNA from 1 species
CCUUCUGAAGUGAGUUAACUUCUAAAAAAUCAAGACGAAGAGGUUUGCCAUUAAUUUGCGGCAACGAUGAUGCAGAACGAUUUACUAAAUUAAAUAUUGUGUAACCUGAUUAGGCAUGUAGGCAGAAAAAAGGUGAACUGCUUCACCUCUCGAAUCUUAUUUUCUUCACCAAAAUCUUGAGCGUAGGCAGAAAAAAAAGUGAACUGGUUCACCUCUCGAAUCUUAUUUUUCUUCCAUAAGUCCAAUUCUACAUCUGCAUAGCAAAAUAUAAAAUUAUAAGUACCAGCAAAAGAGAGGCUAAUGGAUUUUGGUUCUGUGGACAACCAAAAUUAUGUAUUCGUACUAAUUCAGACCAGCAUAAAACAGCUUUCUAUUAUGGACAAUAGAAAACCGAAAAUUCGUGACUACCAGGACUCGUAUGUGCACAGAAUGCUUUACAACAUCCAACUGAUAAAUACAGGCGUGAUGGCCCAACAGCAAGUACAGGUGCAGCAACACAGACCCAGAAAGAGCUUCUUGUUCCUCUUUCUCUGUGCCAUUUCUGGUCAUUUAACUAUGUACUGCAAGCAUGUAAAUAGAUAGAUAAGCAAAACAGAGGAAGAACAUGUCUAUAUCUUACCAUGAACGUGAUGGGAAAAUGCUAGUAAGAUAUAGGCCAAAAGGGCAACAGCCAACAGAACGUUUAGACUAUUUAAGCAAUAUUUCCUCCGUAGCAAUUUUCGCAUACAAUGAUACAAUCAGUUAAGAAUGCUCCAGUAAUGAAUUUUCAAUAUUCAGAUAUGCCAUGUCCAAUUUUCCCAUGCAAUCAUCUGAAUAGCAAGUUUUAAAUCAAUGCCACGUUCAAUUAUAGAAUCAAAGAAAAUAGCAAUCUAGCAGGAACAUACACUCAGUAUAUAAUAUACAAUUCCAAGAACUGCAUAAAGUUUACGCACCUAGCGGGGUAUGACAUGGUAGGUUUUGAAGGCCUUGACCUUUAGAUCCCUCCUGAAUUCACACUACUCGUCAGCAUCUUUUGGGAUGAGGGUGUGCUUGAGCUCGUACUGGUCAAUGGCAUGGUGUACUUGGGACGAAGAAGGUGCCAUGCAGCCUGUACAUCACUCGCGAUGCGGUCGAGGUGGGCCUGGCGCACGGCAAAGAGUGAGCC